GAUGAACGCUGGCGGCGUGCCUAAUACAUGCAAGUCGAGCGAACAGACGAGGAGCUUGCUCCUCUGACGUUAGCGGCGGACGGGUGAGUAACACGUGGAUAACCUACCUAUAAGACUGGGAUAACUUCGGGAAACCGGAGCUAAUACCGGAUAAUAUAUUGAACCGCAUGGUUCAAUAGUGAAAGACGGUAUUGCUGUCACUUAUAGAUGGAUCCGCGCCGCAUUAGCUAGUUGGUAAGGUAACGGCUUACCAAGGCAACGAUGCGUAGCCGACCUGAGAGGGUGUACGGCCACACUGGAACUGAGACACGGUCCAGACUCCUACGGGAGGCAGCAGUAGGGAAUCUUCCGCAAUGGGCGAAAGCUUGACGGAGCAACGCCGCGUGAGUGAUGAAGGUCUUCGGAUCGUAAAACUCUGUUAUUAUGGAAGAACAAAUGUGUAAGUAACUAUGCACGUCUUGACGGUACCUAAUCAGAAAGCCACGGCUAACUACGUG
rnacentral:rRNA from 1 species